rnacentral:rRNA from 1 species
AGCAGCCGCGGUAAUUCCAGCUCCAAUAGCGUAUAUUAAAGUUGUUGCAGUUAAAAAGCUCGUAGUUGAAUUUCGAGAUCAAUUUUCUUGGUCAUACCUUUGUAUGUACUGGUCUUAUUGAUUUCUCCCUUCUGAUGAACCAUGAUGUCAUUAAUUUGGUGUUAUGGGGAAUCAGGACUAUUACUUUGAAAAAUUAGAGUGUUUAAAGCAGGCUCACGCUUGAAUACAUUAGCAUGGAAUAAUGAAAUAGGACGUUUGAUUCUAUUUUGUUGGUUUCUAGGAUUGACGUAAUGAUUAAUAGGGAUAGUUGGGGGCAUUAGUAUUCAAUUGUCAGAGGUGAAAUUCUUGGAUUUAUUGAAGACUAACUACUGCGAAAGCAUUUGCCAAAGAUGUUUUCAUUAAUCAAGAACGAAAGUUAGGGGAUCGAAGACGAUCAGAUACCGUCGUAGU